UCUUGCCUGCGGUCAUCCGUGUCCGGUCGCCUGCUACAAAACGCCGUGCCCAUACCCGUGCCAGCUAUCGUGCCCAAUGUCCUGCCCUCACGGCCCGUGCCCGGCUGUAUGUGGCUAUCCAUGUCCACCUUGCGGAGAACCCUGCACGUGGUCGUGUCCGCACUAUCGUUGUGGUGCUUUGUGUUGCGAACCUUGUACGCGGCCUCCCUGCAACCAUCGCUGCGCGAGACUGCUGCCCUGUGGCCAUGCUUGUCUCGGAGCCUGCGGCGAGCCCUGUCCGACGCUAUGCAGUGUUUGCAAGCCGAAAGAGUACGAGGAAGCAGCGGGAACGUCCCUAAAUGUUCUCCUCGUAGCGCUCGGAGACUGCGGACAUUCUGUGCCCGAGGAAGAUUUGAGGAAAGCUUGCUCCACUGCCCCUGAGGAUGGCCCCCUUUUGUGCCCUAGAUGCUCGACGCCCGCCAGGCAUUGUCUGAGGUUCGGUCAACGUGUCAAGAAGUACAUCGCCAGGAUGAACAGACAAAAGCGAAAGGCUCUGCAUGAUAUCGGGAGUGAACAUUACGGUUAUGAAGCGGUUGCCAGACAACGCUCACUUGAUGACUACCUCCGUGGUCUCAUUGCAAAGAAGCAACCCUGCGACAAGUGACUUCAAUAGGCCCACUGAACAAACUGUCUUGUUUUUAUAUAGUAUUUGUUUUGGUUUCGAAACAUUGAGCGCUUCGUUGGGCUACUGUAGCCCUCAUUCAUUCGCGCUCGAGCCCCAGCACCGACUGCAGCGAUGUAUGAUGUGAAUUCGCGAUAAUCGCCCUCUUCUCUCCACUGAUCUCAAUGUCAUAACAAAAUCAGACUUGUGCAGAUAAAGAAUAUUUCAUAUCUCCCG